rnacentral:rRNA from 1 species
CAUCAGAGGGGAGUGGAGUUACCAGAGUAGCGGUAUAAUGCGCAGAUAUCGGGAGGAGCAUCGAUGGUCGAAGGCAGCUACCCUGGGAUGCACGUGACGCUAAGCAGUGAAAGUCUAGGGGAGCGAACAGGAUUAGAGACCUUGGUAGUCCUAGCUGUAAACGCUGGGUGCUAGGUGUGGGACGUAGAAGUUCCGUGCAGGAGCAAACGCGAUAAGCACAAUGGCAAUGGAAUUACGGUCGCAAGGCUAAAACUCAAACGAAUUGUUCGGGGCCCCGCACAAGCAGCGGAGCGUGUGGUUCAAUUUAAUGCUACACUAAGAACCUUACCUGGGUUUGACAUGUACGGUGGUUAGAAGAUGAAAGCCUAAGGACCCUCGGGGAGCGUACACAGGUGUAGGAAUUCUUGUCCUCAGCUCGCAGUUUGAGGUGUCGGGUUAAGUCCUGUAACGAGCGCAACCCUUGCCUUUAGUUACAAGUGUUUAAGGGGACUUCCGGCGGGAAGCCGGAGGAAGAUGUGGAUGACGUCAAGUCAGCACAGCCUUUAUGUCCAGGGUUUCACACACCCUACAAAUGUUAGUACAAAUGGUAGGGAAGUUUCGAGGCGGAGUAAAUCUCAACAAAGCCAUUUGUAGUUCGGAUUGCAGGUAUCAACCCGCGAGCAUGAAGCUAGAGUUGAUGGUAACCGAGUGUCAGUCAUAGAGCGGUGUAUACGUACCCGGGGUUGGUACACUCCGCCCGUCACGUCAUGGGAGUCGGUAACGCCAUAAGCCGGUAGUCUGGCCCGCAAGGGGGGACCAUGUGGAAGGCGGGACUGGCAACUGCGACGAAGUCCUAACAAGGUAACCAAGGGCGAA